CUGACCCAGAGAUCGAACCCAUGUCUCCUGCAUUGGCAAGCAGAUUCUUUACCCAUGUGCCACCUAGGCAGACACUCUAAAUUGUCCCCAGCAUCCACUGUCUUCUUUUUAGUAAUAGAACCAACCCCUCUCACCCCUAGAAUACGACACGUGACACCCAACUAGUGACUACUUUUGUCAGUCUCCCAUGCCAUUAGAUGUGAUGCUGUGGCCAGACUUUUGUGACUGGAUUGUGAGAAAGAGCAAUAUGUGCAACUUUAACUUAGUGGCUCAGAUGGUAAAGAAUCUGCCUGCAAAGUGGGAGACCCAGUCCAUGGGUCAGGAAGAUCUCCUGGAGAAGGAAAUAGCAACCCACUCCAGUAUUCUUGCCUGUAGAAUUCCAUGGACAGAACAGUCCAUGGAGUCACAAGGAGUCAGACACAACGGAGCUACUAACUAUAACUUUACUUCCCUAGAAGUAAACUGAUUGCCCUUUGUUUCUUCCUUAGGGCUGGAAUGCAGAAGUGGAGCCAGAGAAUAAUCUUUAACCGUGGGGAUGAGGAUAUGGGAAGGCUAUCAAAUAGAAAGAACCUGUGACUCUGAAUGUUCAGAAGAGGGAUGAAGAACGAGUCACUGGGCUGUCAUCUUCCAGUGAGGUGUGCUGCCAGCUGGUGAGGAUGACUUCCAGUUCCCCACACCUGCUGGAACUCUCUAGCUAUUUCCACGACAUUCGAUUUCUGCUGACAGCUGUGUCAACUGAGUGACAGUGUCCUGUCAGGAAGGUUGUG
ensembl:lncRNA